AAAAAUGCACCCUCAUCUACCCAAUUCUGCCCUACCCUUUGGAGCUCCUGGACCCUCUAACCGCUCGGUGGGGUCAGAGCCCACCCCCGGAAGGGCCGCUGGUCGGGGACUGGUUCGCCCUCUCCUGGCCUCCUCGGACCAGUGCGCGGGGAGGAUCCCGCUAACGCCGGGCGCCUGCAGACCUUGAGCGGCCUCGCCCUGGUGACCUCCCCGGGAAAGGCUGGGCGGUGCUUCCACAAUGAGGGCCACCUGUUAAUUUGCACGAGAAAGUGCUGCCGAGGGCCCACACGUGCGAAUCCACCUGUGGAGUGCGUCCCCUCUCUGGGGCCAAGGCCUAGGGGAGGCCGAAGCGGAGAAGUUGCCUGAAGACUGGGAAGUAAGAGUAGGGGCGUCGGAGGAAUCGAAGUUGCAGUGACAUCAGGCUCGGACAGCCGGCGGACUCCUCGCAAGGCCUCAAACUUCUUCAUGGGAAAAGAUGGCUUCUCUUUUUUAAUUGAAUGAACUAGAAGAAGUUCAUUGUUAUUCAUCAACUUCAAAGAGACUAUAUGAGGCCCCUUGGCCAGGACUACAGAGCAGUAUUUUUUAAUCAGAAAUUAUAGCCAAAAAGAAGAGACCAGAACACAUGGCAGCCUGCAUGGACUAAGACAAGCUCAUUUUCUGGAAAGUCUUGAACUAAGUACUUGAAAAUACAAAGAUAAAUG
rnacentral:lncRNA from 1 species